ensembl:snRNA U2 U2 spliceosomal RNA
AUCCCUUCUUGGCCUUUUGGCUGAGAUCAAGUGUAGUAUCUGUUCUUACCAGCUUAAUAUCUGAUGCAUCCUCUAUCUGAGGACAAUAUAUUAAAUGGAUUUGGGGGGCAGGGAGUUGGAGUAGGAGCUUGUUCCAUCCACUCCACUGCAUUAACCUGGUAUUGCAGUACUUCCAGGAAUGACACUCCCUCU